rnacentral:lncRNA from 1 species
CCAGAGCUAUCACCGGGCCUCAUGGGAGAUGUGACUACAGCAUCGGACAUGGGACUGUUUGUUCACUCACUUUCUGUGAAGAGAGUUUUGAACUGUGUUUUGAAUAGACAGCAUUUUCUUUGUGUGGUUGGUAAAUAACACAGAGCAAAGUUAGUCAGCAAGUUGCAUAGCUUCUGCAUUCUGAUUCUUUGGAGCCCUUUUGUACCAAGCUUGACAGGAUGUUUUUAACAGAAUGUGACCUCACUGGAAUACCAGAGGUAAGGAAAAAAGUUAUUGGGGCUGUUGUGGAAUAUUUUGCACAGAGCUGGACGAAAGUACUGCUUUAAAAUGCCUUUUGGAAAGAAGACAGUCUCAUGGUGAACCAGUCAACACCUUGUUUAGUGAAAAUCAAUGUCUUUCAGUCCUUUAAAUUAUAGGAAGUUUUAAUGAGAUUUUCAAUUUCCCACACGUGGAAAAAGAGGCUGAUUUGCAAAUCUUAGAACGAUUAUGUACUUGCUCAUUGAGCAAAGGCCCAGUUCUAGAGACAGAUCAUCAAAAUGUUUUCUUUCUAACACAGCAGACAAUAAGCAGAUCAGAUCCAGUUGUUCAUCCAAGUCCUAGGAGCAGCAGCGUGAGUAUCGGAGCGGUGGCAAACCCAGCAAGACCGGGCAACCUUGCGGACAGCCAUCCUCAGUCCCCGGCUGAAGGUAGGCAAUGACUAGUCCUCAGAUUACAUCAUGCAAGGCCUAUGAACUGCUCCAUGUCACCUUCUGGAGUCUGACUUCUCUCCAGUAGUUGCCUCAGGGAGGUUGACUCUGUCUUGAAGUUCAGAUCAUUUAUGAAUUUGGGUUGAAUCUGAGCACCUUCCUACCACAAAAGAUAAAAGAUGGAAUGUGAGCUGCUGUAGCAUAAUGGGAUGUCCUACAAUAUAGACUGAGCUAAAGGAGGAACACAACAACAGAAGGAAGAAAGAUACACGGAGCAUCAUGAUUUUAUAGAAGCUUGAACAAAGCCCAGGUGGGAGCCAAACACACUGCAGGAAUUUCAGAUGAAAAGAAAAAGAGCUGGAACUCUUGAGAUAUUUCCAUAUUUAUUUACUGUUUGAGGAGUUAUUGCUUUUAGAAUUUUACAAAUUAAUAAAUGCAUUAGCUUUGCUUUAUGGUUUCCA